AUGGCCGGAUUUAGUUUAGAAGAAUCGGCUGUAAAAAUACUUGGAGUGACAAUUGCCGUCAUUGGUGCAAUUUAUUUAAUUUAUCCACCAGGACUUCUCCUAAUUCCAUUAUCUCUUUUCAUCUUUUCCUACACCACGAAAAAUGAAAAAUGUUCCAGUAAAAAUGUCGACACCUUCUUUUCCGGUUUCAAAAUUGGUGGACAUCGUGGAGCACCGAAGAGUUUUCCAGAGAACAGUAUGGCUGGAUUUGCACAGGCAAAAGCCGAUGGAGCUGAUUUGAUAGAGUUUGAUGUGGCUUUGACAAAAGAUGGAAAAGCUGUUUUAAUGCAUGAUGAUGAUUUGGAUAGAACUACGGAUAUGAAGGGACCAAUUAGAGAUAAAACCCGUGCUGAACUAGAUCGUUGUGAUAUUUCUGCAACUUUUAAAAGAACUGCACCCGGAGACCACUGUCGUUUGGCUACCGUAUCUCGUGAACGUGUCCCAGAUAUGGAGGAUGUUGUUAAAUGGGCAGUUGAGAACAAUACUCGAAUGCUUUUUGAUGUUAAGGAUUCCGAUAAUGAGCUCGUUGAUCAAAUUGCCAAUCUUUUUCAAAAAUACAAUCUCUAUGACAAGGCAAUCGUAUGCAGUUUCUUCCCUUGGGUUGUAUAUCGUAUCAAGAAAGGAGAUCAAAAGAUUUUGACGGGUUUGACGUGGCGUCUCAAGUUCUGGUCUUACCACGACAUUGAGAAUAUCCGUCCAAGAUACUCGGGACCAAAACAAAUGCUUUUUGAAAUGAUUGAUGUUGCUCAUGUUUGGCUUCUAAAAAAAGUUACUCCUUGGUAUCUUGGAGCUGAUCUUUUGCUUACGAAUAAUUUGGAUAUUUCUCAGUUUAUGAAUGGAUAGUAACAAUAUCAGCUUCGUAGAAGAAGUAUUCGAGGAUAUAGAAGAUGAGUGUGCCUACUCUCCACCAAUAUUUCUCGAGUGGAAAAUGGUUUUUGUGGGUGUGAUUGGAUUAAUAGUUGCACUCAUCAGUAUUGUUCACAAUUCACUUCUCUUCUACACAUUUAGUACAUCUACAGUACUCCGGAAACGAAACCUGACAUAUUUGAUGUGGAUUUCCGGAUGCGAUGUUUUCAUCUCGAUUUGUUAUAUUGCAAUUAUGUGUGUUCAGGUGUACACCGACUAUUUCGUAUCAUUCAAGUUAUUAGUUUUAUGGCAUGACUAUUUACGGACUGCUUUCACAGUGUCUCAUAUCACCUUAUCGGCUGCUUCAUUUCUUCUUAUGGCCGCAACAGUUGAAAGAUAUCUUCAAAGUACUGCCGAUAACAGGACUCUGAAGUUAUUUCAAAUUCUCGCAACCCACAGGACAUAUGUUGUUUUUUGUUGUUUCCUAGCGAGUCUCAUAUUUCGAGGAACCGUGUUUUUUGAGAUUGAGGUUGUUACUCAACCGAAUUGUACGGGAUUUUCAUCAAUGGGUUUGGCAGUUGUACCAAUGUUUGGAGAAAGUAUGGAUGUUGUUUGGAGAUUUUUUAUUCGAAAAAUUGUUACCGUUUUCUUGCCAUUUGCAGUUUUGGCAUACUUCAAUGCAGCAAUUGUAAUGAAUGUGCGAAGGACUGAUCGGGAUCAAACAGUCAAAGCAUUGGUUUUAUUUAUUACUGUUGGAACAAGAGGAGAAGUUACACGAUUGAGAUCACGGCUGAGAGCUGUUACAAGAAUGCUUGUUAUGGUUGUUACUGGAUAUCUACUUGCGAAUAUUUUAGAUAUUAUUAUUGCGUUUUGGGAGACAAUCAAUAUUCAAAGUCUUCAAGAACUUCCUUCAUUAUAUACAGUACUUUCGGACAUUUCAUCAUUUUUACCAAUUGCUGCAUGUGCUCUUCGUCUCCCUAUCUACACAAUUAAUGAUCGUCAAAUUAGAGUCGAGGUUCGAAGAAAGUUUUGUUAUCUCAUAACGAGAUGUUGCACAUGUUGUCCAGGAGUUCUUUGCGAUACUCAUCAAAGAAAGAAACUUCAUGAUAAUCAGUUGGAAUCGGAAAGACUUUGGCCCAAGAAUGAGCCAACUCCAAAACUUGAGAUCAGAAAUUACGGCCUUCAAUCCCUAAUAAUGGCUCGAGCUUCUCUCUCCACAAAGGAAAUCUACGACAUUCACCGGUUCCGAGAAACUUAUGAUGUUUGA
rnacentral:misc_RNA from 1 species